AGACUGGGCUGGGGCAACGCUGAUGAAAGGCAAAUUCCUGAGAGAAAAAUCACCCAGAUUUUUCAGUGCCUUCUCUAGCUUUCUAGAAGUUGUUAUGAGUGGACCUGACUACCUAGAGAGAGUAAUACAGAAGCUCCGUGCCGAUCACAGCUACCUCAUUACCAUGUUCCUCCAAGAUGGCCGCCCCUGAGGAGAAUCAUCAACUGGGCUUUACGGAAGAGAGAAAUCCAAACGACCAUCAGCAACAAAUGAAAGACUGAAGUUGAAAGUUUCAAGAUUGUCAAGAAUGACGAGUUGGACUUGGUCUAGUUACUUCCACAGCAGCAGGAGGAACAUGUGUGUGACUCAGGAUAACUGGGGAAGCCUUGGCUAGGCUUUCCUCAUGUCAACCUACCACUCAAAGGGAGAAAACCUCCUGAUCAGAGGUGCCCAGAACCCAGGAAAUCCAUAAUUUUUGAAUGCUGGCCGAGGUCUGUGACCUCUGACUGAAUGGUUUCCAAGCUCCGAAUUCCUAGGUGAUGUUUUCAUUUGUUCACACUUGCUGAAGAAGGGAAAGGCUCUCUGAUUUACGUGUAAGCAAAACAAUCUAAACAGUAGGAUAAAAUCAUGUUGGAAUGGAGUUCUGUGUGGAUGCUCCUUUGAACCAAAUCAGUUCCACAACUGACCCUGUCAGGGACAUAUAAAUUUAGCAUUUUGGUGUGGAUACAGAAGACGAGAUUAACACAGAUCAAGUAACAUGGAAAUAAAAAAGGAGACAAUGCUGGAUGAUACAGGGGCAGCCAACAAGAGGAGAAAACCCAAGCAUUGGCAAAUGCCUCAUUAUCCAAAGAACACUCCUUAUACUCCUGAGAAUUUGUGGCAGUCCUGGGUUAAACGAUGAAGGCUUCUUAUUCUCAUGUAGGUCUCACAGCCUCUUGUCUCCCUGAGUUUUAAACACAUUGCAUUACCUUUCCAGAGGAGGUGUGGAGCAAAACUGUGUUGAAUGAACUGUAGAUGGAAAUUCUCUCCUUCCCACCGAGGAGCCGCUGCAGGUUGCAGACUCCCAGAAUGCCACACUGAGAAGAGGAGGGCUAAAAUUCUAGAGCAGAAUCCCUGGGGCAGCCCCUGCUGAAGAAGGGUGCAUCUGUUGAGAAUCUCAUCACCGCCCCCACCCCGCCCAGCCUUCAAUUUAGAGGAAUUUCUAGUUCACGCAGAAUGAAGACAAGAUCACAUAAGUGAGGACGACGCCCCAUUUACAAGUGUGAUUUGGAAGACUGAAGUGGAAACCUUGGGAAGGGGCCUCAGAGUAUGUCAGCUGGGGUCAGACGGGAACAGGAGUCUGGCUCAACACACAUUUAUUGCACUCCUGUUUCAUGCCAAGAAAUGUACCAAAAUCUGGGACUGUGUAACACAGCAAAGGAAAAGACUCAUCUCCAGGAAGCCCCCUUGUCUAGGAAGAGAAAUUGAAUAUCAGCAUAAGGUGGUGAAAAGCUGUGAAGGAGAUGAGUGCCAGGAGUCCAUGGAGGAAGGAUUCUAGCCUGGACAGGUGAGGAAUGGCUUUCUGGAAGAAGCAGAUGCCCCAGCUGAACUUUAAAAUGCCCAUGUGAAAUGAACUGUCUGUAUCUUCAAUCAGCAAAUGGAGUAGGUGGCCACUGUUUAAUUCUGGAAUGGGGAAGUGUAAAGGUGUGGUGUGUGUGUUUACCCCUACUUAGGGAUUCAAAACAGACAGUAAAGAACAAAAGUCUAGCCCUUUGAGCAUUCUCCAUGGGACAUUUGAGGUCUAGCUGGCCCCAGAGAAAGAGAGACAGAAGCAAGGUCAUAUCCAUUUGAGAAAAUCAAAGUGUCUGCUCCAA
ensembl:lncRNA LINC01206 long intergenic non-protein coding RNA 1206